ACUCAAAUGAAUAGACGGGCACCCGCACAAGCGGUGGAGCAUGCUGUUUAAUUCGACGCUACGCGAAGAACCUUACCUAGAUUUGACAUCCCGGGCAAAGCUAUAGAAAUAUAGUGGAGGUUAACCCGGUGACAGAUGGUGCAUGGUUGUCGUCAGCUCGUGUCGUGAGAUGUUUGGUUAAGUCCAAUAACGAGCGCAACCCUUAUUGUUAGUUGCUAACAUUUAGUUGAGAACUCUAACAAUACUGCCGGUGUAAGCCGGAGGAAGGCAGGGAUGAGGUCAAAUCAUCAUGCCUCUUACAUCUAGGGCUACAGGCGUGCUACAAUGGCUGAUACAACGAGUCGCAACACAGUGAUGUGGAGCUAAUCUCUUAAAGUCAGUCCCAGUUCGGAUUGGAGUCUGCAACUCGACUCCAUGAAGUUGGAAUCGCUAGUAAUCCCGGAUCAGAAUGCCGGGGUGAAUACGUUCUCGGGUGUUGUACACACCGCCCGU
rnacentral:rRNA from 1 species